AUACGGAGGGUGCAAGCGUUAUUCGGAAUCACUGGGCGUAAAGGACGCGUAGGCGGGUUGGCAAGUCAGAUGUGAAAUCCUACAGCUUAACUGUAGAACUGCAUUUGAAACUGCCAACCUCGAGUAUGGGAGGGGGAGAUGGAAUUAGUGGUGUAGGGGUAAAAUCCGUAGAUAUCACUAGGAAUACCGAAAGCGAAGGCGAUCUCCUGGAACAUAACUGACGCUAAGGCGUGAAAGCGUGGGGAGCAAACAGGAUUAGAAACCCUAGUAGUCC
rnacentral:rRNA from 1 species